UGUCGAGUCUUGUCAAGCAGCGUUGGUGGAGCUCUUAAGGGAGAGCAGCCUCUUCUCCUUGCUCUUCUCCUUUUCCUUGGGAGCUUGCUUCUCUUUGGCUGAAGGCUAGAGCUUGGGCUUGGAGGAGAUUCCUUUCACUGGCUAGAUUUGAGAUUUUGGUAGCAAGCCCUAGUUCGCGGGACUUGGUGAACCCGAUUCUGUAGUUCGGAGCCAGUUCAUCUCCAUUCCUGGCUCGCCCAGCUAGGAGGAGUAAGUCCUAGCCAUGUGCACAUGUGUUCUGUAGUAGCGCUACCCCCGACUGCGGUCGAAGAUCCAGCUUCGGCUGUUGAUAUUCUGUUCUGUUCUGUCCCGACUUCACAGUCGAUGAUCCAACCUCGUGCUGUCAAUUUCUGUUAUUAGCCAGGGAGAUGUACAUGACUGAAUCUGCGUGUUUUCCGUAGUUUUGGAUUAUUUCUGUAUUCUGUGUUUUCUGUAUUCUGUAUGAAGUAUGAUAUAGUAUUCUGCAAUAUCUGCUUUAUCUGUUGUUUCUGCGACCCUACUGGGCCCUUGUGGCUCAUACACUCUGUGAACUCUGUUCUCGCAGGAGAAGAUCAAGUCUAGGAUCGGGGGGUGUCUGGGAGUGUAUUUUCCGCUGUUAUCAGUAUCUCUGUAGUACACUUUUCUGUGAGUGUAAGGCUUGUAUUCUGACAGUAUUUAUGUAUUGAGAACUAUUGGGUUCAUCUUUGUGUUAUGUAGGGCUGCUAAGGCCCGUACUUGUAAUAUUUCAGUUUCUAGUAUCCUAUUUGUGCUUC